AUGCACAGUGAAUUUCACCAGCGAGGAUUUAAGAACUCCACAUUUGAUGAAGAGGUGAAACGCCUGGUGAACGACAUGGCCCUGGCAGAGUACGCAGCCACUUUUACACCAGUGUGUAAUCAAGAGCUGCUGCCUUCUUCCACGGACAUUUCGGAGGCUAGUGGACAGUCAGAGGAUCACGAGACGUAUGUCAGAGUGAACGGGAUGACAGGGUCAAAACCUGCAAACUCUCUACGAGAGGUGGAUGGCAUCCGCAGUUCUCACAUCACUCCAAACGUGUAUGCCAGUUCUCCUAUAAAAUUAAGAAGUCCAGAGAAGAUCAUAGCCUUGCAUCGGGAACUAAGACAAAACCAUUGCAAAAAUUGCCAGAUACCUUCAGCUGAUCCCUGCAAUGUGAACCUGACAGGUGACCGCAACCUGCCCGUGAUCCAGGAGGAAACCCCUUGGCCUCCGCUCUCGAAGAUGAAGGAGACACUGGAGCCUUCAGAGCAUGGUGCUUCCUGGGCCACGAAAGGGAGGGACCGCUUGUCCAAACGGGAUGAUGUAUUUUGGGGUCAAAUAGGAAAUCAGCAUGCAGGUGCUAUUCCCCAGGGAAUGAAACAGAAAAAUGUCAUUACGAAUAAUGCAUGGCUCUCUAGAGAUAAAACAGAUGGCUCAACCUCAGCUACCGCAGCAAAAAGCUAUUUGUCAGACGUGUUGUCGGCAAGUAAUAAAGGUUGA
rnacentral:lncRNA from 1 species